GCAGUGGUAAUUCAGUGGUAGAAUUCUCGCCUUCCAUGCGGGAGACCUGGGUCUGAUUCCCAGCCAGCA
rnacentral:tRNA from 1 species